AAGCAUGCAUAACUCAACUAGUUGACUGGAAUUAAUUAUUUACUAAAGAAGAUUAUUUCUAUAAUUUUGAAACAUUUCCCACAUAUAGACAUAUACAUAAUGUAAACACUUCAUACUAUGUGUAAGCGGGCCAAUUUGCCCGAGUCCACCAGAAUAUGAAAUAAAUAAAAUUAAACCAAAUUAAAUGUCCACAAGUCCAAAUUACAUAACCCAAUUUUAAGCACAACCCCGUCAGCCCAAAACUAAUACUAACCCUAGCCUAGGAUUACACGGCCCAACAGGCCCAAAAGUUAGAGCAUAGAUAGAAACCCUUGGAUUCCCCUUGCGCCGCAACUGGCCUCCAACAGCCUCCAGCGCCUCCGUACGUCGUACACCGUACACUUCCACAUAGCCAGUGCCGUACCUACAAGAAAACAAAAGGGACAACAGCAAAACAGAGACAAAAAGAGAAGAGCAAAUUUUUGUAUUCUUUUUUCUUUGUCUUUAUUUUUGAUUUCGGCUACAAAAGCAAAAGAAAGGAAAUGUAAUGAGGACACACGCACACUACACAAAUUUAAUACAAAGAACCAGCAAAAAAAUUAGAAGAGGUGACUUUUAGUCUUUAUUCCGACUUGAUUUUCAUUUUAUUUCUUGGUGUUUUUUUUUAUUUAGUGUAAAAUAAAAAAAGGAAGGAACUAACCUGUGUUUGGAAGCCUUUGAAUCUCUGCUUGUUUCGUCAUAAUCGAAACUUGGUAGCGAUUUAGAGCUUGCGAGUGAAAAUCACGAACUGGUGGUCCAAUGAAGCCUUGGUUGACCAUUGUUGGGUCGAAAGGAAAGGCAAGAGGAUCGUCGAUGGAGGGCUUGAAGAUCAGCUGAAUAUUGAAGAGAAAAGCUUGGUUUUCUUUCUCCUUUUUUUGAAGCGGCUAGAGGAUUUACCUAGGAUGUAUUUUUGCUGCUAUGGGGAUUUACUUAGGGUUUGUUUUUGCUGCUAUGGAGAAUAAUAAGUGACACUAUUUCAGGCUAAUACUAAUAGCCUCAAAACUGCACUGCUUAAAAAAGUGGGGUAUUUACAUGCUAGGUCCUCC
rnacentral:lncRNA from 1 species